CGGAACGUGGCGCAGUCUGGUAGCGCACUUGUCUGGGGGACAAGUGGUCGGAGGUUCAAAUCCUCUCGUUCCGACCA
rnacentral:tRNA from 1 species